GUUCUAAGGUACUAUGUAUUUGUGUUGGAUUUUAGAUUUCUUAGGAAAUAUAUAUAAGUGCGGUUUAGCUUUUCUAUUAUCAAUAAAAUCCUAUCUCUGUAAAAAUAAAAUAAAAAAAAAAAAAAUACGUAUAAGUAAAGGCCCAAAUAAGAAACUUAUUUUAUUUUUGAAGAUCCUUAUUGGGUCAGCCCCCCGGCCGCAGAUGGUUAAACCGGCCCGUUCCAUUAUCCAGUAAACCGGGUUUUGCUAACUUUGGGAAACUUUGGAGCUUAGAGGGUGGUCAAUGAAAAUGGGGAUUAUCAGAGACAAGCGAACUUCUCAUACUUCAACUUCUCCUUGUGCUGAUCUCAGAAUUGCCUAUAAUAAUUGCUUCAACAGGUGGUAUGCUGAGAAAUAUGUGAAGGGUCAGUGGCAGAAUGAAGAGUGUGUUGUUGAGUGGGAAAAAUACAGGAAAUGCCUUUCUCAACACUUGGAAGAUAAGCAAUUAAGUAGGUUUCUGGAAGCUGAAGCUAGUGGAAUCCCGUCUUCUGGUGAUCGAGUCGAUAGGAAGAAUUCUUUUGAUGGUGCUUCAAUGGGUGCUGCCAAGUGAUGUGAUGAUAUUUUUUUGUUGUUGUACAUACUGAUGAUAAGUUGCUAACAAUUUCUGCAGAUAAAAAGAAACAGUGUAGCAGUAAAUUAUAGUUUUCACAGGCUCACCUGAAAGUAAAGGAGUAAAUUUGCUGCAGGCAUUGUUCCUCCAGUGAAGAAGUAACGAGUGAUCCAGUCAUCGUCGUUAACAUCCUGCACAAUAUUUUGUGAAACAAAGCUCUCCAACACAUCAGCAGAAAUCUUCUUCGAAUUCGACAAGUAUUGUAUGCUGGGAAAAGAAAGUACCUCAAAGUGGUAUGCAAAAGUUUUAUGACAAAAAUAAUGAACAAAUAGAAGUCCAUCAGGUUUCAUCCAAUUGGAUAUCUUCUUCAGAAGAUCUCUGUAGUUCUUCAUAUGCUGUAGAAUAAACCAAUUACAGAACAUAUCAAACACUGAACAAUGCUAACUGUAACUUCUAACUUGUUGAUAAAUUGUAGCCAAGUAUACUGUUAGACAUGCCUCAAACAUUUCGAUAGACAGUAUACGAUCAUAAGAUCCUUCCAUUUCGAAAGUACUGAUGUCGGCUACUAUGAUUUCAACGUUUUUCAGCUGGAGUUCCCUGAAGCAUAAGAAUUUACACACCUUAGUAAUUUAUUGCUGUAACUAUAUACUAUUAUCCAUGUCCCUAUAUAAAAAUUCACAUUUGAUUUCGAAUACCUUAAUAAUCCUUCUCUUCAUAUACAUAUCUCUUCAAAAUAUGUAGUUAGAGGUAUUGUUAAGGGUAACAUAGGCAAGCUUAGAGUUUUAUCUUACUAAAGUUAGAAAGCGGCCUAUUUGAGACACCCAAAAGUAGAAAAACGGCCUAUCUUUUAGGGACAGAGGGAGUAUAAAUGUAUACGUAAUAUGUAUCUAGUGGUUGUCUUUGAUUGGCAGCAAAAUGAGAUGAAGAUGAAUGAAAGACACACCUACAGCGGUCCUCAAUGUGCGCUUUCUGCGUCGUUGAAUUGCAAAUUCCGGUGACCUUACAAUUACUGUACUUUUGUGCAAUGUACAAAGAGAGUGACCCCCAGCCACAUCCAACAUCAAGAACAGUAUGACCAUCUUCUAUCCCUGAUCUUUCACAAUAUAAAUCUAACAUCACCUUCUCUGCGUCAUCUAAGUUUGU